GUGCUCGCUUCGGCAGCACAUAUACUAAAAUUCGGCAGCACAAUACAGAGAAGAUUAGCAUGGCCCCUACGCAAGAAUGACACGCAAAUUCGUGAAGCAUUCCAUAUUUUU
rnacentral:snRNA from 1 species